rnacentral:rRNA from 1 species
GUUGACGGGGCCCGGCACAAGCGGUGGAGUAUGUGGUUUAAUUCGAUGCAACGCGAAGAACCUUACCUGGUCUUGACAUCCCGGAGACCCUUAGGAAACUAGGGGGUGCUUCCAUCUGGAAGAAUCUGGAGACAGGUGCUGCAUGGCUGUCGUCAGCUCGUGUCGUGAGAUGUUGGGUUAAGUCCCGCAACGAGCGCAACCCUUGCCUUUAGUUGCCAGCAGUUCGGCUGGGCACUCUAAAGGGACUGCCGGUGUUAAACCGGAGGAAGGUGGGGAUGACGUCAAGUCCUCAUGGCCUUUAUGACCAGGGCUACACACGUACUACAAUGGCCGAUACAAAGGGCAGCGACACUGCGAGGUGAAGCCAAUCCCGUAAAAUCGGUCUCAGUCCGGAUUGGAGUCUGCAACUCGACUCCAUGAAGUUGGAAUCGCUAGUAAUCGUGGAUCAGCAUGCCACGGUGAAUACGUUCCCGGGCCUU